rfam:Lactobacillus johnsonii NCC 533, complete genome.
GGGGGCUUAGCUCAGAUGGGAGAGCGCCUGCUUUGCACGCAGGAGGUCAUCGGUUCGAUCCCGUUAGCCUCCA